GACGAACGCUGGCGGCGUGCCUAAUACAUGCAAGUUGAGCGCUGAAGGUUGGUACUUGUACCAACUGGAUGAGCAGCGAACGGGUGAGUAACGCGUGGGGAAUCUGCCUUUGAGCGGGGGACAACAUUUGGAAACGAAUGCUAAUACCGCAUAAAAACUUUAAACACAAGUUUUAAGUUUGAAAGAUGCAAUUGCAUCACUCAAAGAUGAUCCCGCGUUGUAUUAGCUAGUUGGUUAGGUAAAGGCUCACCAAGGCGAUGAUACAUAGCCGACCUGAGAGGGUGAUCGGCCACAUUGGGACUGAGACACGGCCCAAACUCCUACGGGAGGCAGCAGUAGGGAAUCUUCGGCAAUGGACGAAAGUCUGACCGAGCAACGCCGCGUGAGUGAAGAAGGUUUUCGGAUCGUAAAACUCUGUUGGUAGAGAAGAACGUUGGUGAGAGUGGAAAGCUCAUCAAGUGACGGUAACUACCCAGAAAGGGACGGCUAACUACGUG
rnacentral:rRNA from 1 species